rnacentral:misc_RNA from 1 species
GAAAUGCGAUAAGUAAUGUGAAUUGCAGAAUUCAGUGAAUCAUCGAAUCUUUGAACGCACCUUGCGCUCCUUGGUAUUCCUUGGAGCAUGCCUGUUUGAGUAUCAUGAAAUCUUCAAAGUAAAUCUUUUGUUAACUCAAUUGGUUUCUACUGUGGUAUUGGAGGUCUUUGCAGCUUCACACCUGCUCCUCUUUGUUCAUUAGCUGGAUCUCAGUGUUAUGCUUGGUUCCACUCGGCGUGAUAAGUUAUCUAUCGCUGAGGACACUGUAAAAGGUGGCCAAGGUAAAUGCAGAUGAACCGCUUCUAAUAGUCCAUUGACUUGGACAAUACUUUUAUGAUCUGAUCUCAAAUCAGGUGGGACUACCCGCUGAACUUAAGC